AACACGGAGGAAGGAAACUAAGGAGAGGCCCUGACGUCACUCUUUGUGAAGCAAAAGUGAAGCCGGAAGUUGGCGUUGCUCAUGGCGAUGCUCCGCCUUUUGUGCCACCCUCCUCUCUUGUUUACAUCUUUCGCGAAACCACGCCGCGCUGCGCGUGGUUUCGCACGCGGAGCGCGCGCGCUCGCGCAACAUGCGGCAGAGCACGGUGCAGGUAACACAGCGCAACAAGACACGGUGACUAACGCAAACCCGCCCACACAGCGCCUUUGCCACGGCACGAUACCUACCAGAGCAACACGUGUGCGCGCUCAAAAAAUCAGAACAACGCCGCCAUUGUGGCCCAAAAGGCGUGGCCAUGCAGCAAAAAAAAUAAAAAAGCAGCAAAAGAAAUGAGAACCUAUACGUCAUUUCCGCCACACUUUUCUCCUAGCGCGCGGAGGGGGUAGGGCCUCUCCUUAGUUUCCUUCCUCCGUGAGUGGGAACCUCUAGGGCGCCGUCCUGUUGCUACUGGUCAAUGUGGCCAGCGCAAUUACUAUCGAAAGCGCUGAAAACAAAUACAGGUCACCUUAUGCUUUGUCAUCUAAAAACGCAUACCUGAAAGCGAUCGCUAAGUCCGUGACUUAUGUAAAUAACGAUGUACGCAUUCAUGCAAUAAAGGAUGACGCGAAUUUCGGUUUCGAAUCUGUUUUUUGGAUGCGUAGUAGUUUUAGGUUUGACAUGUGAUCGCGCGUCGACAUCGGACGCUAUGGCACACUCGUGCCUUAUGUGCCACCGAAGCCCCGAAGUGCUCUGGCAUAUACCUUCACAUGUUUCCCUUCAGUAGGAAAUCGCUGGACAGGCGGACCAGCGCACCGGAAUUGUACUGGCCAAGCCACAAGCAACUCAAAGAAUCUGUUUAAUUGCUGCACUUUGAACAAUCAUGCUUCUACAAAGGCCACAGCAGAAAAACAGCCUGAUGCCGAGUAUUUCUGUGCCACGAAGUAAUCAAGAGGCGAGUGCCUAAUGCGGACGAAAUCGACUGCAUCGAGACUUAGAACGACAGAAAGCUGAGCUAGUUGAUAUACAAUGGCAAGCCCUUCCGUGUGUUCCAAAGGUAAAAUUUAAGCUCUAAAUUAAAGAAGACAUUUCUAGUCAGAGACAAGCAAAAAUGGUGAAUGCAGAGUAUCAGAAGCCCAAGGUACAAAAAUUAUGAGAAGUGUCGAAUGAUUUUAAGGAAAGAGUCUUAUUUGAAACUGCAAGACUCUUUAGUGGAGGUCAAGCAAGUCAAUGUAGGUAGAAUACUGUGCAAAAUUAUGCGAGUGAGGGGAUGUCAAACAAUGGGUCAGGAAAUGCGUUGGUUUUCUGCAAAACAAAAGCUGAUUGCCAUUACAUAAGUCACUUUAGCAUCAUGAGACUGCUGCUUGAUAAAUUCGGAAAUAAACCAAACAACAAGACACGCAAAAAUAAAAAACAAUUUAAUGGUGCUCUCCCCACACUGGGAUAAAUAAAAACACAUCACAUCUAAUGUGGACAUAUCAGACGCCUUGUGAAAUACUAAAGGAAAAAUUCACUUUCGAGCUAUGGCACUUGCCGCAUAGAUGUGGGGGGCCUUGCACUAAUAGUGAUAGUUACCACUGCAUUUAGAAAUUGAAAGCAUUCAUGCAGACAAGGAUGAUUCUUUAUAUUUUUGGCUACCACUUCAAAUGCCUCCACCAAGUGUUACAAUGCUGCACGCAGCCAUACUAAGGAUGUCGCAGCAACACCUGCAGGUAAAAAGCAGAAGCAGUCAAAGUGCUGGUGUAUUCUGCACACUAGCUUUGAAAACUUUUGGGCAAGAACAGUGCAAGAAGCAGACAUAACAACUGCAUUUAUUUCCAUAAUUCCCCAUUUGAAUGGCAUUUUCUUUUUGCUUAAACAAUGCCUACGCCUAGGCACAGCAGCUCCCUCAUACAGACUCCGCAAGCCAAGAGGCCGUGGAGGCAAAUGCAGGCAGCCAGCACACCUCGAACAGCCACCUUGACUGCAGGUGUGUCACCCUAGUCGCCAAGGAAACAUUUGAGGGAAAGCGACAGGCAAUGUGAACAGCCACUUCUCCAUGCAAACGAUACUCUUUCUCUCGGAUGACUCCUACGCCUCGCCACGCCAGCACACUUGUGCACAAAGAUGCCGCGGAGGCACGUGCAGGUCAGAGGCAAGAAGCAGUGGAACUGGUGUCGACAUUCACCCAAUUUCUUUUUCUUACACUGAGGCAGCCAGCACACCUCGAACAGCCACCUUGACUGCGGGUGUGUCAGUAGAUUCCUGUUGCACAUAUGCUCAUAAUAAGCUUCAGUAAACUUGAACUUGACAAUAAACUUGAUGGCAAAUGGUA